GCCUCCGCUCCUGGGCUAUGUUGCUGACCCAACCUGAAAUCCUUUAGGUUGACUCAGCAACAUAUCCCAUGACUUUUGGGU
rnacentral:miRNA from 1 species